rnacentral:rRNA from 1 species
GCUCAAGCUACUAAGGGCAUACGGAGGAUGCCUUGGCAGCUAAAGGCGAUGAAGGGCGUGGCAAGCUGCGAUAAGCGUCGGUGAGGUGCACACAACCUUUGAACCGGCGAUUCCCGAAUGGGGAAACCCGUAGUCCAUAAUCGGGCUACAUCAUCCGAUGAAUUCAUAGUCGGAUGAGGCGAACCCGGAGAAGUGAAACAUCUCAGUAUCCGGAGGAAAAGAAAAUAAUUAUGAUUUCCUGAGUAGUGGCGAGCGAAACGGAAAUAGCCUAAACCAAUUCAGGCGUUAAAGCUGGCAGGUGUUGCCUGGAUGGGGUAGUGGGACUUGAUUGCGUCAACUGCUAUGAGGCGGAGAAGUCAAAAAGAUUUCCAAAUAGCUGAAUCUUCCUGGAAAGGAGAACCAAAGAUGGUGAUAGUCCAGUAGGCGAAAUUUGGAAAUCCUUCUUAGGUCAGGUUCCCAAGUACCACGGGACACGUGAAAUCCUGUGGGAAUCGGUCAAGACCACUUGACAAGGCUAAAUACUAUGUAGCUGACCGAUAGUGCACAAGUACCGUGAGGGAAAGGUGAAAAGAACCCCUGGCGGGGAGUGAAAUAGAACCUGAAACCGUAUGCCUACAAUCAGCGGGAGCUAGCGUAGGUCUUUCCUUCGGGUUCGACCUAUGCAGUGACCGCGUGCCUUUUGCAUAAUGAGCCGGCGAGUUAUUCUGUGUAGCAAGGUUAAUUUGUUUUACGAAGAAGCCGUAGCGAAAGCGAGUCUGAACAGGGCGUCAAGUUGCAUAGAGUAGACCCGAAACCCGGUGAGCUACCCAUGGCCAGAAUGAACUUCGAGUAAAAUCGGAGGGAGGUUCGAACCGGUGGGUCUUGCAAUACCCUCGGAUGAGCUGUGGGUCGGAGUGAAAGGCUAACCAAACCGGGUGAUAGCUGGUUCUCCCCGAAAUGCUUUUAGGAGCAGUCUUUUGGGUUUGAUGAUGGAGGUAGAGCACUGGAUGGGCAAGCUCCUGCUAAGCAGGAGCAAACUCAACCAAACUCCGAAUGCCAUUAUUCUUAGACCAAAGGAAAGAGGCGGUGGGGUAUAAGCUUCAUCGCCGAGAGGGGAAUAACCCAGACCAUUAGCUAAGGUCCCCAAGUAUAGACUAAGUGGAAAAGGAUGUGAGAUUGCUUAGACAGCUGGGAUGUUGGCUUAGAAGCAGCAAUCAUUUAAAGAGUGCGUAACAGCUCACCAGUCAAGGAAUCUUGCGCCGAAAAUAUAUCGGGGCUCAAGUCUAUCACCGAAGCUGUGGAUGGAGAUGAAAAAGGAAUAGAUGGAUACCGCAAGGUUGAAUUUUAUUCUGGGCGUAAGCCAUCGUCUUCGUGGUAGGGGAGCGUUCUGUAGUAGGUCAAAGGUAUAUCGUGAGGUAUACUGGACGAGGCAGAAGUGAUUAUGCCGGCAUGAGUAGCGUUAAAUCGGGUGAAAAACCCGGUCACCGUAAACCCAAGGUUUCCUGGGGAAGGUUAAUCCGCCCAGGGUCAGUCGGUGCCUAAGCCGAGGCUGAAAAGCGUAGGUGAUGGGAAAGCCGUCAAUAUUCGGCUACCAUCUUGGUAUCGUUACGAGCUAUGGGGUGACGCAGCAAGAAAGGUUGGGCCCGGUGCUGGUCGUCCGGGUCUAAGUUAUUGGGAUGGGCUGUAGGUAAAUCCGCAGCCAUAAUUCUCGAUAGCGAAUGGGAGUCCAACGAAAGAAGGACGAACUCAACCUGACUGACUGCCGAGAAAAACCUCUAUGCCAGAUAUCAGGGUGACCGUACCGUAAACCGACACUGGUGGGUAAGGAGAAUAUCCAAAGGUGCUCGGGUGAGCUCUCGUUAAGGAACUCGGCAAUCUAACCCCGUAACUUCGGGAGAAGGGGUCCCAGCACUUAUGUAAAUAAGUGCUGGGCGCAGUGAAGUGGCUCUACUGACUGUUUAACAAAAACACAGGUCUCUGCUAAGCCGUAAGGCAAUGUAUAGGGACUGACACCUGCCCGGUGCCGGAAGGUUAAGGAAGGGGCUUAUUUCCACUUCGGUGGAGAGAAGGUCUCGACCGAAGCCCCGGUAAACGGCGGCCGUAACUCUAACGGUCCUAAGGUAGCGAAAUUCCUUGUCGGGUAAGUUCCGACCUGCACGAAUGGUGUAACAAGUGGAGCGCUGUCUUGACGAGAAGCCCGGCGAAAUUGUAGUGGCGGUGAAGAUGCCGCCUGCCUGCGAUCGGACAAAAAGACCCCGUGAACCUUUACUGUAGCCUGUCAUUGAAUUUUGGCAAAUCAUGUGUAGGAUAGGUGGGAGGCGAUGAAGCUUUGGCGCUAGCCAAGGCAGAGCCAACGGUGAAAUACCACCCUUGGUUUGUUGGAAUUCUAACUCCGACUGUUAACCAGUCGGAAGACAUUGGCAGGUGGGCAGUUUGACUGGGGCGGUCGCCUCCUAAAUGGUAACGGAGGCGUCUUAAGGUUGGCUCAGCACGGACGGUAACCGUGCGUGGAGUGCAAGGAUAUAAGCCAGCUUGACUGUGAGACAAACAAGUCGAACAGGGACGAAAGUCGAGCCUAGUGAUCCGGUGGUUCCGCGUGGAAGGGCCAUCGCUCAACGGAUAAAAGGUACUCCGGGGAUAACAGGCUGAUCGGGCCCAAGAGUUCACAUCGACGGCCCGGUUUGGCACCUCGAUGUCGGCUCAUCGCAUCCUGGGGCUGGACAAGGUCCCAAGGGUUGGUCUGUUCGCCCAUUAAAGCGGUACGUGAGCUGGGUUCAGAACGUCGUGAGACAGUUCGGACUCUAUCCAUCGUAGGCGGAGGAGACUUGAGGGGAGCUGUCCUUAGUACGAGAGGACCAGGAUGGACAUACCUCUGAUGUACGAGCUGUACUGCCAAGUGCACCGCUCGGUAGUCAAGUAUGGAAGGGAUAACCGCUGAAAGCAUCUAAGUGGGAAGCCCACCCCAAGAUUAGGUCUCACGAGUACUCUUCUGGCAACAGAAGAGAUACCCUGAAGGCUCCUGGUAGACUACCAGGUGAUAGGUCACAGGUGUAAGUCCGGUAACGGAUUCAGCCAAGUGAUACUAAUCAGCCGUGCGGCUUGAUUUU